ACCUUAGAGACCAACUAAGUUUGUUCUUGGUAAAAGCUUUCGUGUGCAUGCACACUUCUUCAGAUACCUUCCACAUUUACUUAAAUGCACUUAAAUUCACUUAAAUGCAUGCACACAACAGCUUAUACCAAGAAUAAACUUAGUUGGUCUCUAAGGU